UUUUUUGUUUUAUAUUAUUUUGUACGAUCCAUUUUGUUCUGUUUAUCUCAACACAGCGACAUUUCACAGACUUGAUUUCACGUUUGUAUGUCGGUGCACUGUUGUAUUAGCUUGUCCGAAAAAUUUCUUUCGUUUUAUAAGAUGAUAAUAGAUGAACGACAAUUUCUGUUUUAUAUUAUUUUAUUGAAUUAGGUAUGAUCCAUUUUGUUCUAUUUCUAUUAUCAUCUUCGUGCAUAAUUUAAUAAACUAAUAUAAUUGUGCGCCUAUUAUUUCCUUAUAAGACGAAAGAAACCUAAUAGAUGAAAAUCAAAGAGAUACAUAUUCCACGCCUAAUUCAAUCAACAAUUUUUG
rnacentral:misc_RNA from 1 species